rnacentral:rRNA from 1 species
CCUACGGGAGGCAGCAGUGAGGAAUAUUGCUCAAUGGACGAGAGUCUGAACCAGCCAAGUAGCGUGAAGGAUGACUGCUCUAUGGGUUGUAAACUUCUUUUAUAUGGGAAUAAAAUGUUCCACGUGUGGGAUUUUGUAUGUACCAUAUGCAUAAGGAUCGGCUAACUCAGUGCCAGCAGCCGCGGUAAUACGGAGGAUCCGAGCGUUAUCCGGAUUUAUUGGGUUUAAAGGGACCGUAGGUGGAUUGUUAAGUCAGGUGUGAAAGUGUGCGGCUCAACCGUAGAAUUGCAGUUGAAACUGGCGGGCUGGAGUACAGUAGAGGUAGGCGGAAUUCGUGGUGUAGCGGUGAAAUGCGUAGAUAUCACGAAGAACUCCGAUGGCGAAGGCAGCUCACUGGACUGCAACUGACACUGAGGCUCGAAAGUGUGGGUAUCAAACAGGAUUAGAUACCCCGGUAGUC